rnacentral:rRNA from 1 species
UACGGGAGGCAGCAGUGAGGAAUAUUGGUCAAUGGGCGCGAGCCUGAACCAGCCAAGUAGCGUGCAGGAUGACGGCCCUAUGGGUUGUAAACUGCUUUUAUGCGGGGAUAAAGUGAGGGACGUGUCCCUUAUUGUAGGUACCGCAUGAAUAAGGACCGGCUAAUUCCGUGCCAGCAGCCGCGGUAAU